UACGUAGGGGCUAGCGUUAUCCGGAUUUAUUGGGUUUAAAGGGUGCGUAGGCGGCUUUUUAAGUCAGCGGUGAAAUUUUGCAGCUUAACUGUAACAGUGCCGUUGAUACUGGGGAGCUAGGAUUUGGUUGCUGUGGGUGGAAUGUGUGGUGUAGCGGUGAAAUGCUUAGAGAUCACACAGAAUAUCGAUUGCGAAGGCAGCUCACAAAGCCAAGAUUGACGCUGAGGCACGAAAGUGUGGGGAUCAAACAGGAUUAGAUACCCCCGUA
rnacentral:rRNA from 1 species